UACGAAGGGGGCUAGCGUUGCUCGGAAUUACUGGGCGUAAAGGGAGCGUAGGCGGACAUUUAAGUCAGGGGUGAAAUCCCGGGGCUCAACCUCGGAAUUGCCUUUGAUACUGGGUGUCUUGAGUAUGAGAGAGGUAUGUGGAACUCCGAGUGUAGAGGUGAAAUUCGUAGAUAUUCGGAAGAACACCAGUGGCGAAGGCGACAUACUGGAUCAUUACUGACGCUGAGGCUCGAAAGCGUGGGGAGCAAACAGG
rnacentral:rRNA from 1 species